GAAGACUAGAGGAGCUGGGGACCUAGCUUUGGCUUCACCUCCCUCACUGAUACAGCAUGGGGGAGAAGUCAGAGAACUGUAGGGCUCCAGAGGAUCUUUUCAAUGGUUUGAAAGUUACAGAUCCACAGGAAGCAGAGUGUGCUACCCCUCCGGUUUCCAGUCCCAAAGAUCACCAUCUCCAGAGAAAGCUGCUCAAGGAUGUUGCAGCUCAUUCCCAGGAAGACCAGGGAGAAGAGGAGUGUUUUCAUGACCUUAGUGCCUCAUUUGAGAAGGAGGAGCCAGGAGCAGACAAGGUUGAGAACAAACCUGAUGAUAAUGUGAAUUCCUCUGAACUUGAUGAAGAAUACCUAAUAAAACUGGAAAAAAACAUGCCAGUUGAGGAGAAACAGAAGAGAAGAGAAGAGAGCACUAGACUAAAGGAGGAGGGAAAUGUGCAGUUUAAGAGAGGAGAUUAAAUAGAAGCUGAGAGUUCGUAUAGUCAAGCCCUUCAGAUGUGCCCAUCCUGCUUCCAGAAGGACAGGUCUAUUCUGUUUUCAAAUAGAGCUGCUGCAAGGAUGAAACAGGACAAGAAAGAGAUGGCCGUCAGUGACUGCAACAAAGCAACUCAGUUAAACCCCAGCUAUAUCAAGGCAAUACUGAGGAGAGCAGAGUUGUACGAGAAAACGGACAAGCUAGAUGAAGCCCUGGAGGACUAUAAAUCCAUUUUAGAAAAAGAUCCAUCUGUACAUCAAUCAAGAAAGCUUGCAUGAGAUUACCUAAACAGACUGAAGAACGUAACGAAAGGCUAAAGGCAGAGAUGUUAGGUAAACUAAAAGAUUUUGGGAACUUGGUUCUUCGACCUUUUGGACUCUCCACCGAAAAUUUCCAGAUCAAACAGGAUUCCUCUACUGGUUCCUACUCCAUCAAUUUUGUUCAAAAUCCAAAUAAUAACAGAUAACAAAGUUAACAGUAGCUUGUAAAGCUGGCUUGGAGAUUGUGUGCUGCUUGCUAUUAACAAGGGGGAAGGCCCUGCCAAUAUUUAACUUUUAAAAGCAUUUUAUCUCAAAGACAGGCUAUCCACUAGGGCCCAGUGCUCCCUUUUCCCUCUUGUUUUCCAAUCAGGGUGAAAUGCACUUCUGAUGUCAUAAGCCUAAUUUGAUUCCCAUUUUAAGGUGGUGUCUGUGCAGCUGUUGCCCUUGGUUCUGGCUGUCCCUGGCUUUGUCCGGGACGAAGCCUGCUUGUCAAAGCUGACCUCCCUGAGCUAUACACGCGAGCCCAGCCAGAGCGUCCCCCAGCCUGAGCAGACCUGCCGGUCGGAGACUGCCCAAAUAUGAUUCCUGGGGUUCCCGCCUCCUGUCCCCUGUCCCUGAUUACUCACCCCGCCCAGGCUGCUGGGCAUGGGCUCUGGUGUCUCCUGGUUUCCUCUGUGGUAAAUAAACGCUUUCUGUGAUGGUCUG